rnacentral:rRNA from 1 species
CGGGCGAGUAACACGUGGAUAACCUACCUAUAAGACUGGGAUAACUUCGGGAAACCGGAGCUAAUACCGGAUAAUAUUUUGAACCGCAUGGUUCAAAAGUAAAAGACGGUCUUGCUGUCACUUAUAGAUGGAUCCGCGCUGCAUUAGCUAGUUGGUAAGGUAACGGCUUACCAAGGCAACGAUGCAUAGCCGACCUGAGAGGGUGAUCGGCAACACUGGAACUGAGACACGGUCCAG